ACUCCUCCACUCCCCGCUUUUCUUUACGAAUGGCGGCGCGAGCUGGGAUUUGGGAGCUUGCGGGUCCCUGGCCGAUCCGCUCUCCUUGAAUGCAUUAGCAGAGCCCUCGCGGCCUUGGUGUGAUAGUAAUCUACGCCUCGGCUUAGCGCAUAUACAGUGUGGCUACGCUUCCAACCGUCUCGCAAGGGACAACUAAUCAUCA
rnacentral:misc_RNA from 2 species